CAGAAAUGCAGUCUGUGGCUGAGAUGGCUUCUAAUGCCUAUCGCAAACCCAGUGUCAGUCCAUCAGCUACGAUGCUGAAAGCUCUGCCUAUGCGGUUCCUCGCCUCGCCGGAGCCCGGUGGGUGGAGCCGGCGACUACCACGACGAUCGCUGCGGUCGGUUUCGGCAGCGCUCAUGACCAACCCCGCUUACUUCGAGGUGGGAAGAUUCUUGGGUGGCUAUGGCUUCAUGAACAUCACAAGUUACUCAUCAUCUCAAUUUGGAGAGCCUUCAAAUGUUGCCGGUAUUCAAGACCUUGGUCUUGGAUAUUCACCAGAAGAGAUCGAACGGUUGAGGGUCCAAGAUAUUGGAGAAGGAGAAGUGACAAUUAGACUUUAUGAGGGAAGAGUUGUUCAAGGUCCAUUCAGGGGCACACGGGCUGUAUUUAAGGUAUACCCUGGAGCCCGUGCUGAUGCUUCUGAAGCUGAUUUGAUGGCACUGAAUGAGUUAAGGACUCAUGCGUUUCUUCAGAGUGAUGCUAGUGACAUAUGCGAGAACAUCCAGUUUCUUUUAGGGGCCUUCGAGACAGCAACUGGAGAACAGUGGCUCGCCUUCCGUGAUGACGGGAGAUAUAGUGCUGCAGACUAUGCAAAUGUAACUAGUGCAAGGCAAUUGAAGGAAAAAUCUGGAGGGACGCCAUUCUGGAACCCUUUCGAUCGAGCAUACAAAUUGGAGUUAAGGAGAUACUUUGUUCUUAAGUUGCUGAACGGUGCUAUGAGUGGCCUUGUUCACAUGCACAAUCAUGAUAGACUGCAUCAAAGCCUUGGACCUUCUUCUGUAAUUCUCAAUACGGCAUUGGAUAAAGAGGGACGCUACUUGGUUCCAAGGCUGAGAGAUUUGGCAUUUUCUGUAGAUAUUGGGUACUCAUCUAUUGGGGCUGGAGUGCUGUCGGACGGACUAUGGCGUCGAGCCUCUGCUGCUGGGGCUUCCACUCCUUUGGAGAAGCGAGCCUUUGGAAUAGCUGAUGACAUUUAUGGAGCUGGGCUGCUUCUUGCAUACAUGUCAUUCAUUCCAUUCUGCAAAGCGGGCGUUAUGGAUGGUAUCUCCUUGCAGGUGAUUCAGGAUAUUUUAACAUCGUGUCCAUAGACUUUUAGAGAGCACCUUUCGGCUUGACAUUUACGCUGCAAGAGAGUAUUGUCUGGCAGAUGACCAGCUGUCGGAAGCAGUAAGUUUUCUAGAUUUAGGGGAUGGUGCUGGCUGGGAGUUAUUGCAGGCAAUGCUUAAUCCGGAUUACCGCAAGCGACCAAUUGCAGAGGCUGUACUGAACCACAGGUUUAUAACUGGAGCAGUUUUACGAAACUACUAAUCAGCAUUUUUUUUACUUGUAUAAAGUUGCUACGUGGAAAUUGUAAAAGUACAAUAAUUUUAGUGGGUGAAGAGGUGAUACGUUUCUUGGAUGAACA